UGGGGAAUAUUGGACAAUGGGCGAAAGCCUGAUCCAGCCAUGCCGCGUGUGUGAAGAAGGUCUUCGGAUUGUAAAGCACUUUAAGUUGGGAGGAAGGGCAGUAAGCGAAUACCUUGCUGUUUUGACGUUACCGACAGAAUAAGCACCGGCUAACUCUGUGCCAGCAGCCGCGGUAAUACAGAGGGUGCAAGCGUUAAUCGGAAUUACUGGGCGUAAAGCGCGCGUAGGUGGUUCGUUAAGUUGAAUGUGAAAGCCCCGGGCUCAACCUGGGAACUGCAUCCAAAACUGGCGAGCUAGAGUAGGGCAGAGGGUGGUGGAAUUUCCUGUGUAGCGGUGAAAUGCGUAGAUAUAGGAAGGAACACCAGUGGCGAAGGCGACCACCUGGGCUCCUACUGACACUGAGGUGCGAAAGCGUGGGGAGCAAACAGG
rnacentral:rRNA from 1 species